GCCGGGCCGGCGGCGGCCCCUCGGUGUGCCGCGCAGCUGGCCUUGGUGGGGGGGCACCCGCCGGUAGUUCCCCCCCGCACCGGCAAGGGCUGGGGAAAGGCCAGAGAGGAGAGCCUGCUCCAGUUCCUGGCUCUCCUUGCAGGGGUUCUGGCAAAUGCCGUCUUCGUGGUGGUCCCACGAACUGGGAUUUACUGGCUCACUGAUUUCAAGGCUCGGGACCUGCUUCGUGUCACAAUCACCCAGCUGACAGCCUCCGUCUUCCCGGCGGAGUGGGAGAAGCCAAAGGAGAGACCCAUUUUACAGGUCGCUGAAGCCGGAUGCGUGGACCCCCCUUGGCAUCUCUCGCUUCAGCAGGUCCCAGCGGGGUGAAAUUUUGGCUGGUUGAAGUCAGCAGUGGCUCUGGCAGGGAAUUUAGGAUGGGGGUAGAGAGAAAAAUGCCGGCCACCGUGCCAUGCCCUCGGCUUUGGGACCGUGGGUGCCAAAUACUCCUGAAUGAUGUGGGUGGAUGUUCCCAUCGGCUCCUGGGUGCUUUGGGAGACCCCCCCAGCGCACUAACGCCACGCUCCUAUAAUGACCUGCACUUAGAGAAAGGUGCAGGAGCCGUUUCCCCACGGAGAACAGGAUUGCACCCUCUCCUCGAGGUCAUGUCGUGGCUGCCGGAGCUAAUUACUGCUUGAAGAUGAGUCUCAGCCCUGGGGGAGUUCUGGGAAAUCAGCGCUGGUUCGGUGCUUUGUCCCGAGACCGAUAGAUUAACUUCAGCUUCGCGCUCCGUUGACGGCCGGCAUGGUGCUCGAGGAUGGAGGAAAUUGAACCCAGCGUGGCGUUUCCCCCACAGGAGCUCUUCCUCUGGCAGGCCAGGUGAACCGUCCUGAGUGCCAGCGAGCAGGGCCAAAUCCGGACUUGCCGGAGAAUGAACCCGCUGCUGCAGCGGUUUGCGGUCCUGCUGCUCCUGGAGUGGUGGGGAGCUGUUGC